AAGACUAUACUUUCAGGGAUCAUUUCUAUAGUUCGUUACUUUAUACCCUACACAGCUGAACAGUGACAGCUCUUGAAGGUGUGUCCUAUUAAGGAGGAGAG
ensembl:snoRNA LOC120102771 small nucleolar RNA U3